rnacentral:rRNA from 1 species
CGUAGGGCGCGAGCGUUGUCCGGAUUUACUGGGCGUAAAGGGCUCGUAGGCGGUCCGUCGCGUCGGCUGUGAAAGACCGCAGCUCAACUGCGGAAACGCAGUCGAUACGGGCGGACUAGAGGACGGUAGAGGCAAGCGGAAUUCCUGGUGUAGCGGUGAAAUGCGCAGAUAUCAGGAGGAACACCGAUGGCGAAGGCGGCUUACUGGACGAUAACUGACGCUGAGGCUCGAAAGCGUGGGAGCAAACAGGAUU